rnacentral:rRNA from 1 species
CCCUACGGGGCGCAGCAGGCGCGAAACCUCCGCAAUGUGAGAAAUCGCGACGGGGGGAUCCCAAGUGCCAUUCUUAACGGGAUGGCUUUUCAUUAGUGUAAAAAGCUUUUGGAAUAAGAGCUGGGCAAGACCGGUGCCAGCCGCCGCGGUAACACCGGCAGCUCUAGUGGUAGCAGUUUUUAUUGGGCCUAAAGCGUCCGUAGCCGGUUUAUUAAGUCUCUGGUGAAAUCUUGCAGCUUAACUGUGGGAAUUGCUGGAGAUACUAGUAGACUGAGAUCGGAGAGGUAGAGA